UUUUUUUCCAGUAUACGUGAGGCUGCUUCGAGAUAAUGAAUACAAAGUGCGUAUUGCAGCUAUACUGAUCAUGGUGGUCGAAGAAGACGACGGUCAAAAGGGUUCAUCCGGAUUUGAUUUUGUUCACUUCUAAGGUGGAACGGGCAAAGUUUGUGUUUGAAUCAAAGACUAUAAUGAAAAUGGAGCUUUUGGUGUUGUCUUCGCUUGAAUGGAAAAUGAAUCAUGUGACUCGGCUACUACCUGCAGUUGGAUCCAUUGGUCCUCAAAGUUUUGGAACAAAUUAUUCAAUGUAAGUAUGUUUCUUUUUUCUUGGUUUGGUGAUUGCUAUGUAUAUAUCGUUUUAUAAUUAUAGAACGGCUUCAUUUGUGGUUAUCAUGUAGAAACACCCUGGAUGGAUCAGUAUUUGGUUCAAUUUUCUCUAAGUAAUAUUCUUUUAGUUUGUUUUAUUUGUGUCUCUACACCUCACUUAAGGGAUCGGAAAACUGGCUACCAUAUUUGGUUGUCACAC